CAGUCGCCGCGGUAAUACAGAGGGUGCGAGCGUUAAUCGGAUUUACUGGGCGUAAAGCGUGCGCAGGCGGUUUGUUAAGACAGAUGUGAAAUCCCCGGGCUUAACCUGGGAACUGCAUUUGUGACUGGCCGGCUAGAGUAUGGCAGAGGGAGGUGGAAUUCCACGUGUAGCAGUGAAAUGCGUAGAUAUGUGGAGGAACACCGAUGGCGAAGGCAGCCUCCUGGGCCAAUACUGACGCUCAUGCACGAAAGCGUGGGGAGCAAACAGGAUUAGAUACCCGCGUAGUCCCUGUCUCUUAUAC
rnacentral:rRNA from 1 species